rnacentral:rRNA from 1 species
UACGUAGGGUCCGAGCGUUGUCCGGAAUUACUGGGCGUAAAGAGCUCGUAGGCGGUUCGUCGCGUCGGCUGUGAAAACCCGGAGCUCAACUCCGGGCCUGCAGUCGAUACGGGCGGACUUGAGUUCGGCAGGGGAGACUGGAAUUCCUGGUGUAGCGGUGAAAUGCGCAGAUAUCAGGAGGAACACCGGUGGCGAAGGCGGGUCUCUGGGCUGAUACUGACGCUGAGGAGCGAAAGCGUGGGGAGCGAACAGG